UACGGAGGGGGCGAGCGUUAUUCGGAAUUAUUGGGCGUAAAGCGCGUGUAGGCGGCUUUGCAAGUCGGGUGUGAAAUCCCUCGGCUCAACCGAGGAAGUGCGCCCGAAACUGCAGAGCUUGAGUACUGGAGAGGAUGGUGGAAUUCCCCAAGUAGAGGUGAAAUUCGUAGAUAUGGGGAGGAACACCGGUGGCGAAGGCGACCAUCUGGACAGAUACUGACGCUGAGACGCGAAAGCGUGGGGAGCAAACAGG
rnacentral:rRNA from 1 species